CUGUGGUGUAGGCUGCCGGCUGCAGCUCCAGCAAGGAGAGUUUCCCAGGCGAUCUGAGGGAUUAAGGCUGGCAUGUCACAGAGCGCCCCCCACAGGGUGGUAACUCCCAGACCUGCCUGGGUGCUGUGGGGAUGGCCUGUAUCUGAGCCAUCCUACCUUUUGGCAGGAGGGUGUUGGCAGUGCCCAGCCACCCCCCCCCCCCAUGGCCCUCCCCACAGAGGGAGAUAGGGAACUCCUGGCAGCCUGUCUUGGGCAGUGUCUGUGAGUUGUGGCCAGUGGCCUAGCCCCUGGAGGGCCUCCUCAGCAGCACCCUGCGGAGAGAGGACCCCAGGCCUAUGGGCCAGAGGAGGCAGCCGAGCAAGGGAAGGAGUACCCAGUGUGGAGGUGGACACUUACUUGGCUCUGUCACCAAACUGACUGGCAAGUCCUUGCUCCAUAAUCCUGCUGGGACCUCAGUGGUCCCCCAGGUCUCAGACGUGUCCCUGCCGAGGGGAUGGAGGGGCGGUGGUUGGGCCCUGGACCUGCUGUAUGUGGAUGCUGGGCAGUCCAGGGUCCCAGGCCCAGUGGGACCCAGUGGUCCUACCACCGUCUGCUCACGGCUGCACACCAUCCAUGCAGGCCAAGGACAGCGAUGAUGAUGAUGACGUCACUGUCACCGUGGACCGAGACCGCUUCAUGGAUGAGUUCUUCGAACAGGUGGAGGAGAUCCGCGGCUUCAUUGACAAGAUCGCGGAGAACGUGGAGGAGGUGAAGCGGAAGCACAGCGCCAUCCUGGCCUCCCCCAAUCCUGACGAGAAGACGAAGGAGGAGCUGGAGGAACUCAUGUCUGACAUAAAGAAGACGGCAAACAAAGUUCGCUCCAAGUUGAAGAGCAUCGAGCAGAGCAUCGAGCAGGAGGAAGGCCUGAACCGUUCUUCCGCUGACCUGAGAAUCCGAAAGACACAGCACUCCACGCUGUCCCGGAAGUUUGUGGAGGUGAUGUCCGAAUACAACGCCACCCAGUCUGACUACCGCGAACGCUGCAAGGGCCGCAUUCAGAGGCAGCUGGAGAUCACCGGCCGGACCACGACGAGCGAGGAGCUGGAAGACAUGCUGGAGAGCGGGAACCCGGCCAUCUUUGCCUCGGGGAUCAUCAUGGACUCCAGCAUCUCGAAGCAGGCCCUGAGCGAGAUUGAGACGCGCCACAGUGAGAUUAUCAAGCUGGAGAACAGCAUCCGGGAGCUGCACGACAUGUUCAUGGACAUGGCCAUGCUCGUGGAGAGCCAGGUUGCUUUCCCGAAAUCCUGCCCUGGGCCCCCUCCCAACCCUGAGGGGGCCCUCUGGAGCUCGGGUGCCCCUGGCCGCACAGGGGGAGAUGAUUGACAGGAUUGAGUACAACGUGGAACAUUCGGUGGACUACGUGGAGAGGGCAGUGUCGGACACCAAGAAGGCCGUCAAGUACCAGAGCAAGGCUCGCCGGAAGAAGAUCAUGAUCAUCAUCUGCUGUGUGGUCCUGGGCAUCGUCAUCGCCUCCACCUUUGGCGGCAUCUUUGGAUAGAAACCGCCCCCACCGGCCAUUCGCUCCGGAUGGUCCACCCCGAGGAGGUCCCCCUGGCAGCCACCAUCUUCUGGCUGGGGGCCCUCUCCUCCCUCCCCCAGACUGCUCCGUUCUCUGCCACAGGGGCCCCGUACCCACCCUGCCCUGAGCCGUCGUGUGCAUGAUCUUUGUGACAGUGUGCGUCUGUACAGAACAGGCAGGGGGGAGCCAGGCUGGGAAACCGCCAGCCGGGUGGGGCUGGGCCAGCAAGGGACAGACGCAGGCCCUGGCCCAGGCCUCCUUCACCGCUGGGCAGGGCUGCCCUGAGUGGUUAGCCACGCUGCCCUUCCCUGCCUCCCCUCUGGCCUGGGGCCUGCCCUCUCCUGGCAUCAGGGCUCUUGCCAGACCCCGACCUUGCCUCUUGCUGACCAGGCCAUCUGCCCCAUCCCGUGUCCUCUCCAGCUGUGCCCCUAAGCCGAGCCCCCUGAGGGCUGGGGACCAGCUGGCCACAUGGUGCUGCUUUUCGGGUUAGAGGAGGGGUGGCCCUGAGAGACAGCCCAGCUCUAAGCCUCUAACAGCUGAUCACUGCCAGGGAGGCUCAGGGUGCCGUGGCCAGGUGGCUUCUGGCCGUGUCAAGACCAGGCUUCCUCCCCUACCGUGGAGCAGUCCAGUAGGUCUUUGGCGGCCUUAGCCUCCCUUCCCACACUCCUGCAGCCCCAGGAGCAACCCCCUUGGGCUAUGCCUGACCCCGGGUCACAUUCUGCAAGGGGCUGACUGGUGCCUGGUCUGCAGCCGCUGUUGGAGCUAGUAAGGCAGAGCGGGCUCAGUCAGGCCUCUGUGCUGGUGAAGCCCACGGCCUGGGCCAGCCACUCUCCCCACAGGCCUCAGUCGGGUCCUCAAGCCAUUGUAUGUUGCAUGUUUGGGACAGUGGUCCCUGCUCUCUUGUGCUCGAGAAGUCGACGUUACUUCUGGCCUGCCAUCCUGUCCUGCCCUCGCUGCCCCCACUGAUGUGCCACGUGGGUGUCAGGUGUCUCAGACACAGUAUUCAGCAGCCACCAGGAGGAAACCUCCCUCUUCCCACCAUCUGGGGACUGAGGUCUGAAACAAGCCCCCACUCAAGACCCCUCUUCCUCGUUGACAGGCAAGGCGUGUGCCUGCGAGCGCAUGCAGUAGGGAGCGGCCAGCUCUGUGCCACUCCUUCCCUUGGCUUUGCUCCUGCCGGUGACGGUGACCACCGUCCGUGCUGCCUUCUUGAACAGCAACUCCCCUCCCCCCACCCCUCACCAAAGGUCUUGGUACAACCAGCGGCCCAUUUUGUGAAGUUUUUAUGUAGACUAAACAUUUGUAUCUGUA